rnacentral:rRNA from 1 species
AGAGUUUGAACGGGCUCAGAAUCAACGCUGGCGGCGUGCCUAACACAUGCAAGUCGAACGCGAAGCCGGGCUUCGGCCCGGUGGUAGCGUGGCGCACGGGUGAGUAACACGUGGGUAAUCUGCCUUCGGGUGGGGGAUAACGGCGCGAAAGCGUCGCUAAUACCGCAUAACGCAGCGGCACCACAUGGUGACAGUUGUUAAAGGGGGGGAUCCUUUCGGGGACCUCCCGCCGGAAGAGGAGCCCGCGCUCGAUUAGCUAGUUGGUGAGGUAAUGGCUCACCAAGGCAGUGAUCGAUAGCCGGCCUGAGAGGGCGGUCGGCCACACUGGCACUGAGACACGGGCCAGACUCCUACGGGAGGCAGCAGUGGGGAAUUUUGGGCAAUGGGCGCAAGCCUGACCCAGCAACGCCGCGUGAGGGACGAAAUCCCUUCGGGAUGUAAACCUCGAAAGUUGGGGAAGAAAUCUCUACGGAUAAUACCCGUAGGGGAUGACGGUACCCAACGUAAGCCCCGGCUAACUACGUGCCAGCAGCCGCGGUAAUACGUAGGGGGCAAGCGUUGUUCGGAAUUACUGGGCGUAAAGGGCGCGUAGGCGGCACGGCACGUCGGGAGUGAAAGCCCGGGGCUCAACCCCGGAAUGUCUCUCGAGACUGCCGAGCUAGAGUGCGGAAGAGGCACCUGGAAAUUCCCAGUGUAGCGGUGAAAUGCGUAGAUAUUGGGAAGAACCACCAGAGGCGAAAGCCGGGGGUGCUGGGCCGACACUGACGCUGAAGGCGCCGAAAGCCAAGGGA